rnacentral:misc_RNA from 1 species
GAUGAAGAACGCAGCGAAAUGCGAUACUUGGUGUGAAUUGCAGAAUCCCGUGAACCAUCGAGUCUUUGAACGCAAGUUGCGCCUCAAGCCAUUAGGUUGAGGGCACGUCUGCCUGGGCGUCACAUAUCGUUGCCUGAUGCCAGUUUCCUCGUGAUGGGUGACUGUGCAGGGCGAAUGAUGGCUUCCCGUGAGCAUUGUUGCCUCAUUGUUGGUUGAAAAUUGAGUCCUUGGUAGGGAGCGCCGUGAUAGAUGGUGGUUGAGUGACGAACGAGACCCAAUCAUGUGAGACCCCUACCGAAUUUGGCCUUCAUGACCCACAUGCGUCUUUGGAACGCUCAUGACGAGACCUCAGGUCAGGCGGGGCUACCCGCUGAGUUUAAGCAUAUCAAUAAGCGGAGGA